GAAGAGAUGUUAUGAGAGAAAUGAUCGCUAAAAGAAGAAUCAAAGAAUGGAAAAUAAAGGAGCAAGGGUAUGAGUCUUACCUCUCAAGAAGAGAAGUCAAAUUGGACAAUAAACUUGCAAUAACAAAAGAGGAUACAGUAGCAACAAUCUCGCAGUCUUCUCUCAAAAAUCACUCAAUUUCCUCACCGAAAUGCUCUCAACUCUCUCAAGUUUUCUCUCUUUUAAGAAUGAAAAAAAAUGAAGAAAGAAGAAGCUUAAAUAGGCAAGACAAUAGCAAUGUGAUCCAUCCAAUCACAUGCAGAAAAAACUAGUCGCUAAUUGGGUUAGUGGCUGACCAAGUUGGUUCGACUUGACUAUGGUGCUCCAUAUGGCAAAGAGGAGCUGCAGGGGAGGUGAUGGCUUGCAAUGUGCAGUCUAUUAGCCAAUGAUGCUCGGGCAAAGCUUUUCUGUGUCUGCAGUUGCGUGCAUGGCUUGUUGCAUAGGCAUGGGAAAAACUCCCGUGCAUCCUAUGGGUUUUGCUCGCAUGUUGUGCUCACAACACAAGCCUAUUACAGAAAUUACCCGCAUGUGGGGAAAAUUGUUCCACAGGUCGAGUCCGCGUGUUAGCAAGGCAGGUGUCGUGGAUAGG
rnacentral:lncRNA from 1 species